GAUCAGUGAGCACUCUGGUUUCUCCUAGUCUACUGGUGAGAGCUUGAACUGGAAGGGGUAGACUGGAGAAGAUCAUGAAUGCCACAAGCUAAUGAUAUUGUUGGGCAGUGUGGAACAAAGGUAACAAGCUACAAAAUGUGCUCAUUACGGAUCUGUCAGCUACAAAAGGGAGGAGACUCCUUCUGUUUCAGCAGAUUGAUGUGGAUAUCUCCCUGUGCAUGGUGUAGCCAGUGGGUGAGUUGAUUCUUGCUGAUAUUCAUAGAUAAGGUUAAUCUCA
rnacentral:lncRNA from 1 species